rnacentral:rRNA from 1 species
GUUUGUCACGAGAGAUCAUCAAUCUGCAUUGAUUACGUCCCUGCCCUUUGUACACACCGCCCGUCGCACCUACCGAUUGAAUGGUCCGGUGAAGCCUCGGGAUUGUGAUUAGUUUCCUUUAUUGGAAAACUUGUCUAAACCUUAUCAUUUAGAGGAAGGUGAAGUCGUAACAAGGUUUCCGUAGGUGAACCUGCGGAAGGAUCA